UCUCCUUGUGUGCAACUACUAGUAAACCUCCUGCUCUCUCUUUGUUCUUCUUUCCUAGGGUUUUCAGAUCGAAGAAAACCACGAAGAAGAGAAAAGGCGCUGCAAUCGAGCAAUUUCAUCGAUCCAAUUCGCUCGAAAACAAAAAUGGCAGCUCAAAUAAGCAAAAAACGAAAGUUUGUGGCUGACGGAGUCUUCUACGCGGAGUUGAAUGAAGUGUUGACGAGAGAGCUGGCCGAGGACGGGUACUCCGGCAUCGAAGUUAAGAGUUACGUCGAUGCGGACCGAGAUUAUCAAUUUAUCAUUAGGGCCACUCGGACUCAAAAUGUUCUCGGUAACACAAACUUUGUCAUUGUUUCCGUUUGGUUUCCGAGAAGGUGCCGGAAAAUAAAUGUAAUUAUAUGAGAACGUACUGCUAGAUUAUUAUAACUCUGUUUGCUAGAUCAUUAUGAUAUGAAAUUAAAAGCUAUAAAUUUAUUUUUGUAUUGUUAAAGACUUUGAGAAUGCAGAUGAGUGUGAUUCAUUGAGCUUGAUGAUUUUUUAGGGCAAAUUUUUUCCGUAGUUCUUGCAAGUGGGGUUUACUUCAUAAGAUAUGACUCCGGAUGGCUUCGUUGGGUGAGGUUGAAAUUUAUAAAUGAAAGAAUAAUGGAGACACAGUAUGCAUGUCUCGCUGUUUGUCUAAGUAAUCGACAGAUUGCGUGAUGGACCAAAGAUUCGUAUAUGGUGAUAAACUGAUACGUUUUACUCAAUUCAGUGAAGUAGGAAGAUAUUGCUCUUUGAGUUGUAUUCCAUGUUUGCAAGAAUUAUAACAAUCUUUUUGUUCAUGAGCUUCUUGUGGUUGCCACAGAAAUUGGAAGAAAGAUUGUACUUGUUGUGGUUUGUUACAUUGCAUUAAUUUUGAUCUAGAAAUUCUUUGAUGGGUUUCGGUGAGAAGGGACAAAGAAUUCGGGAACUCACAUCUAUUGUUCAAACGCGUUUUAAGUUUCCCCAAGAACAGCGUUGAGCUUUAUGCUGAGAAAGUGAACAAUAGAGGGCUUUGUGCCAUUGCUCAGGCUGAGUCUCUGCACUACAAGCUUCUUGGAGGGCUUGCUGUCCAAAGGUCUUUCUAUGGUGUUCUUAGAUUUGUCAGGGACAGUGGAGCAAAAGGAUGUGAGGUAUGCCAAGGAAGUGGUUUUUUGCCCUUGACCUAAAUUAUCUGUGGUGAAUCAACAUUUAUUUUAGGAAGAGGAUGACACCCAAUUUUAUUGAUAAACUCUCACUUAUGGCGGAGGAAUAACUUAUACAAUGAAGAGCUUGGGGGCUACAACCAGAAAUCUCAGAACCAAGCUCCCAAGAAAAACUAUAUAUGGUCAUUGUUAUCAAGAGACAACCUGGAAAAAGGCAUACUAAAAGAAAGAAGUGUAGAAUUUAAUGCUGAAACUAGGGAUGGCCGCAUGAUCCACAACAAAAAGACCAACCAUAUGCUUAGGUAAUUGAAUAGCGGAAGAGAAACAAGACUAUCAGCUAAGGGGUUACCUUCU